ACCCCGAUGGGCCAUGGCUCCUGGAAUGGGCUAUGGCUGAAAUCUACAUGGCCCCAGGAUGGGACUGCGGCCGAUCAGGUUGUUGGUGGGGUAAUGGCCCACCAAGCCUAUAACCGGUGCGGGCUCUGAGAGGAGGAGCCCGGAGAUGGGCACUGAGACAAGGGCCCAGGUCCUAUGGGGCGCAGCAGGCGCGAAACCUCCGCAAUGGGCGAAAGCCCGACGGGGUCAGUCCGAGUGGUUCCCGCUGAGGGAACCUUUUGCCAGCUGUAAACAGGCUGGCGAAUAAGGGGUAGGCAAGUUUGAUGUCAGCCGCCGCGGUAAUACCAGCACCCCGAGUGGUCGGGACGAUUAUUGGGCCUAAAGCAUCCGUAGCCGGCCCAGUAAGUCCUCCGUUAAAUCCAACGGCUCAACCGUUGGGCUGCGGGGGAUACUGCUGGGCUAGGGGACGGGAGAGGCGAGGGGUAUUCCCGGGGUAGGGGUAAAAUCCACUGAUCCCGGGAGGACCACCAGUGGCGAAGGCGCCUCGCUAGAACGUGCCCGACGGUGAGGGAUGAAAGCUGGGGGAGCGAACCGGAUUAGAUACCCGGGUAGUCCCAGCCGUAAACGAUGUAGGCUCGGUGUUGGGCUGCCUCAGUGGCAGCCCAGUGCCGCAGGGAAGCCGUUAAGCCUACCGCCUGGGGAGUACGGCCGCAAGGCUGAAACUUAAAGGAAUUGGCGGGGGAGCACCACAAGGGGUGAAGCCUGCGGUUUAAUUGGA
rnacentral:rRNA from 1 species